rnacentral:rRNA from 1 species
UCGAUGGAGGGGGAUAACUACUGGAAACGGUAGCUAAUACCGCAUAACGUCGCAAGACCAAAGAGGGGGACCUUAGGGCCUCUUGCCAUCGGAUGUGCCCAGAUGGGAUUAGCUAGUAGGUGGGGUAACGGCUCACCUAGGCGACGAUCCCUAGCUGGUCUGAGAGGAUGACCAGCCACACUGGAACUGAGACACGGUCCAG